AUUGAACGCUGGCGGCAGGCUUAACACAUGCAAGUCGAGCGGGGGAGGUUGCUUCGGUAACUGACCUAGCGGCGGACGGGUGAGUAAUGCUUAGGAAUCUGCCUAUUAGUGGGGGACAACAUCUCGAAAGGGAUGCUAAUACCGCAUACGUCCUACGGGAGAAAGCAGGGGACCUUCGGGCCUUGCGCUAAUAGAUGAGCCUAAGUCGGAUUAGCUAGUUGGUGGGGUAAAGGCCUACCAAGGAGAAGAUCUGUAGCGGGUCUGAGAGGAUGAUCCGCCAGACUGGGACUGAGACACGGCCCAGACUCCUGCGGGAGGCAGAAGUGGGGAAUAUUGGACAAUGGGGGGAGCCCUGAUACAGCCAUGCCGCGUGUGUAAAGAAGGCCUUUUGGUUGUAAAGCACUUUAAGCGAGGAGGAGGCUACUGGUAUUAAUACUACCGGAUAGUGGACGUUACUCGCAGAAUAAGCACCGGCUAACUCUGUGCCAGCCGCCGCGGUAAUAC
rnacentral:rRNA from 1 species